rnacentral:rRNA from 1 species
AUACGGAGGAUCCGAGCGUUAUCCGGAUUUAUUGGGUUUAAAGGGUGCGCAGGCGGCCAUUUAAGUCAGCGGUUAAAUCGUGGGGCUCAACCCCAUUCUGCCGUUGAUACUGGGUGGCUUGAUUGCGGUCGAGGUUGGCGGAAUUCGUUGUGUAGCGGUGAAAUGCAUAGAUAUGACGAAGAACACCGAUUGCGUAGGCAGCUGACCAGACCGAAAAUGACGCUCAUGCACGAAAGUGCGGGGAUCGAACAGGAUUAGAUACCCUGGUAGUCCGCACAGUAAACGAUGAAUACUUGUUUUCGGCGAUAUAAUGUCGGAGGCAAAGCGAAAGCGAUAAGUAUUCCACCUGGGGAGUACGCCGGCAACGGUGAAACUCAAAGGAAUUGACGGGG